rnacentral:rRNA from 1 species
AACAAACGCUGGCGGCGUGCCUAACACAUGCAAGUCGUACGAGAAAGGGUCCUUCGGGGCCUGAGUAAAGUGGCGCACGGGUGAGUAACGCGUGGAUAAUCUGCCCUUCAGUUGGGAAUAACUCAUCGAAAGGUGGGCUAAUACCGAAUAAUGCUGUGAGACCUCGGUUGAUCAGCCAAAGAGAGCAUCUGCUUGCAAGCGCUCGCCGAAGGAUGAGUCCUCGUGCCAUUAGCUAGUUGGUAGGGUAAGGGCCUACCAAGGCGACGAUAGGUAGCUGGUCUGAGAGGAUGAUCAGCCACACUGGAACUGAGACACGGUCCAGACUCCUACGGGAGGCAGCAGUGAGGAAUCUUGCGCAAUGGGGGCAACCCUGACGCAGCAACGCCGCGUGAGUGAGGAAGGUCUUCGGAUCGUAAAGCUCUGUCGGAUGGAAAGAACCGCAUAGGGGUAAACAGCCCCUGUGUCUGACGGUACCAUCAAAGGAAGCACCGGCUAACUCCGUGCCAGCAGCCGCCGUAAAAC